rnacentral:rRNA from 1 species
AUGGCCUCCGCCGAAAUCCCCAACGCCGACACCGCGGACCCCAACCCUAGCCCCAACCCCGCCGCCCGUUCGCCGUCACCUCCGCUCCCGCCGCGCAAGCGCCGCCUCUCCCUCUCCCCUUCACGGUCCACCUCCCCCAGGCGCUCCGUGUCUCGCUCCCGCUCCCCCCGCGACCGCCGUAGCCGCAGCCGCAGCCGGAGCCGUAGCCGCAGCCGCAGCCGUAGCCGCAGUCGCAGUCGGAGCCGUAGUCCGCGCCAGCCCGAAGGCAAGCGGCGGCGGCAAAACGACCUCACCGUCGAGGCGUGCCGCGACUACCUGCGCGACAGGUGCACCCGCUCCGACCUCGAGUGCAAGUAUGCGCACCCGCACCAAUCCGUUUCCGUCGACCGGGACUCCAAGGUGACCGCAUGCGCCGAUUCGCUGAGGAACAACUGCUUCCGGGGCAGAACCUGCCGCUACUACCACCCGCCUCCUCAUAUACAGGAGUCCUUGCUGAGAUCAAUUGGUUUGGACGUCCCACCGGUGAAGACGGUUUGCAGAGAUUUCGCACGUGGGCGAUGUUCAAGAUCAGCAAACGAGUGCCGCUUCUUGCACCAUUCAUCUGUUCAAGAGUGUGCAAUUGUUUGCCAAGAUUUCUUGCGUGGGAGGUGUGACCGUAUAUCAUGUAGGUACACUCAUGUUAUAGCACAACCAAUGCUACCCCCACCAAUGAGGGAUGUUCCCAUGCAAAUGCCAUAUCCUGAGAUGGUUUACAUGCCACCACCACCACCACCACUGGGAGUACCUAUGAUGGCUCCUCCUCUCUCGCCUCCUAGAGGUUUUGCUGAUAACAAGAGCACAGUGGAAGUUUGCAGGGACUACUUGAAGAAAAUGUGCAAUAGAGAAUCAUGUAGAUUUGCACACCCUGAUUCACAAACUGAGGUGGCACAUGACAAGGUUGAAGUUUGCCGUGAUUUUAAACGAGGAGAAUGCACUCGACCUACAUGCCGCUUUUACCACCCAUCCUCAAGCUGA